rnacentral:lncRNA from 1 species
UGUGUUUAUGAGGAGUGACUGUGUGUUUAUGAGGAGUGACUGUGUGUGUUUAUGAGGUGUGACUGUGUGUGUUUAUGAGGUGUGACUGUGUGUGUUUAUGAGGAGUGACUGUGUGUGUUUAUGAGGUGUGACUGUGUGUGUUUAUGAGGUGUGACUGUGUGUUUAUGAGGAGUGACUGUGUGUGUUUGAGGUGUGACUGUGUGUGUUUAUGAGGUGUGACUGUGUGUGUUUGAGGUGUGACUGUGUGUGUUUAUGAGGAGUGACUGUGUGUGCUUAUGAGGAGUGACUGUGUGUGUUUAUGAG